AUUGAACGCUGGCGGCAGGCCUAAUACAUGCAAGUCGGACGGGAUUGUGGAGCUUGCUUCACAUGAGAGUGGCGCACGGGUGCGUAACACGUAUGUCACCUACCCUUGUCAGGGGGAUAGCCUCUCGAAAGAGAGAUUAAGACCGCAUAACAUUGUUUUGUGGCAUCACAGAACAAUCAAAUAUUUAUAGGACAAGGAUGGGCAUGCGGAACAUUAGCUAGUUGGUAAGGUAACGGCUUACCAAGGCUACGAUGCUUAGGGGAUCUGAGAGGAUGGCGCGCCACGCUGGUACUUAGACACGGACCAGACUCCUGCGGGAGGCAGCAUUAAGGAAUAUUGAGCAAUGUGCGGAAGCCUGAACCGGCCAUGCCGCAUGCAUGAAGGCGGCCCUACGGGUUGUAAACUGCUUUGUCAGGGUAAUAAACCUCGGUACGUUUACCGAGCUGAAUGUACUCUGAGAAUAAGGGUCGGCUAACUCCGUGCCAGCCACCGCCGUAA
rnacentral:rRNA from 1 species